UACAGAGGGGGGCAAGCGUUGUUCGGAAUUACUGGGCGUAAAGGGCGCGUAGGCGGCCUUCUAAGUCGAACGUGAAAUCCCCGGGCUCAACCCGGGAACUGCGUCCGAUACUGGAAGGCUUGAAUCCGGGAGAGGGAUGCGGAAUUCCAGGUGUAGCGGUGAAAUGCGUAGAUAUCUGGAGGAACACCGGUGGCGAAGGCGGCAUCCUGGACCGGCAUUGACGCGUGAGGCGCGAAAGCCAGGGGAGCAA
rnacentral:rRNA from 1 species